rnacentral:rRNA from 1 species
CGGGGGAGCAAGCGUUGUUCGGAUUUACUGGGCGUAAAGGGCGCGUAGGCGGCCUCUGCAAGUCGACUGUGAAAUCUCCGGGCUUAACCCGGAACGGUCAGCCGAUACUGCAGGGCUAGAGUGCAGAAGGGGCAACUGGAAUUCUCGGUGUAGCGGUGAAAUGCGUAGAUAUCGAGAGGAACACCUGCGGCGAAGGCGGGUUGCUGGGCUGACACUGACGCUGAGGCGCGAAAGCUAGGGAGCGAACGGGAUUAGAUACCCCGGUAGUCCUAGCCUUAAACGAUGAAUGCUUGGUGUCUGGGGUUUUAUAGUCCCCGGGUGCCGUCGCUAACGCUUUAAGCAUUCCGCCUGGGGAGUACGGUCGCAAGACUG